AAAUUGAAGAGUUUGAUCAUGGCUCAGAUUGAACGCUGGCGGCAGGCCUAACACAUGCAAGUCGAACGGUAACAGGAAGAAGCUUGCUUCUUUGCUGACGAGUGGCGGACGGGUGAGUAAUGUCUGGGAAACUGCCUGAUGGAGGGGGAUAACUACUGGAAACGGUAGCUAAUACCGCAUAACGUCGCAAGACCAAAGAGGGGGACCUUCGGGCCUCUUGCCAUCGGAUGUGCCCAGAUGGGAUUAGCUUGUUGGUGG
rnacentral:rRNA from 1 species